CUUGCUGAGAGGUGAGAUGCCCCUGCAAAAUAGCAAAUCUGUAAGGAUGUUUCAUGUCAGGGUGGGAGGAAAGAUUCUGGUUACAGACAGCUGGAUUCUGCAGGCCUGGCUGACACUUGGGGACAGGCAACUCAGCCAGGAUCCUAGGAGCCCUCUCACCUGGAAGCCUGCAGCUCAAUGAUCCUGGGCAAGAGUCGGUGCAAGGAAAGGCAGGCUCCGUCUCCACGCAAAACUCGCUUCUGGGGCACCAGGCACCCCUGUGGGGCUGGCAGGAGGCACCCUGGGGAAGGCAGAAGAGGCGGGUGCAGGAAACCCCAGGCAGGGAGGAUAAUAACAGCUCACCUGCGGGCCCCUUUCAUCUGGAGAUCUCAGAGCUGUUAACCACCUCGCAAUUAAUUUUCUCAACACCCACUACACCACCAGCCCCCAGGAAGGUGUCAUUAUCAUCCCUUUAUGAGCAAGGAAACGAGGAGGUGAGUGGGCUGGCUCCAAGCCACAGAACAGUUGUAAGGCAGAAGCCCAAUUUGGGACAAUUGCCUUCCCCUGAUCCUAAGGAACCCAGGGGAAAAGAGCCAUCCGCGGGAGGCACGGUGACUCCGCCCCUCCACCUGCGGGCGCUCCUCAUUCACCCGCCCAUCUGUCCAUCCAAGCAGCCUCUCUUGCCAUGCAUUUAUUCCUUUAUCCCCUCCUCUAUCCAUCCAUUGACUCAUCCACCCAUCUCCAUUCCCUCAUUCACUCAGCAAGCACCGAUUGACACCCUGCAGUGCCGAGGACCAAGACCAUGACCGUGACUGAGGCUCUGCCCACCUCCUACUGAUUCUCCAGAAGAUCAUUUCUCCCCAUUAUUCCAGGUCUUUGCAGUUGGC
rnacentral:lncRNA from 1 species